AACGCUAGCUACAGGCUUAACACAUGCAAGUCGACGUGCAGGAUGGUCUUAGCUUGCUAAGGCCGAUGGCGACCGGCGCACGGGUGAGUAACACGUAUCCAACCUGCCGUCUACUCUUGGACAGCCUUCUGAAAGGAAGAUUAAUACAAGAUGGCAUCAUGAGUCCGCAUGUUCACAUGAUUAAAGGUAUUCCGGUAGACGAUGGGGAUGCGUUCCAUUAGAUAGUAGGCGGGGUAACGGCCCACCUAGUCUUCGAUGGAUGGGGGUUCUGAGAGGAAGGUCCCCCACAUUGGAACUGAGACACGGUCCAAACUCCUACGGGAGGCAGCAGUGAGGAAUAUUGGUCAAUGGGCGAGAGCCUGAACCAGCCAAGUAGCGUGAAGGAUGACUGCCCUAUGGGUUGUAAACUUCUUUUAUAAAGGAAUAAAGUCGGGUAUGGAUACCCGUUUGCAUGUACUUUAUGAAUAAGGAUCGGCUAACUCCGUGCCAGCAGCCGCGGUAACACGGAGGAUCCGAGCGUUAUCCGGAUUUAUUGGGUUUAGAGGGAGCGCAGAUGGAUGUUUAAGUCAGUUGGAAAAGUUUGCGGCUCAACCGUAAAAUUGCAGUUGAUACUGGAUAUCUUGAGUGCAGUUGAGGCAGGCGGAAUUCGUGGUGUAGCGGUGAAAUGCUUAGAUAUCACGAAGAACUCCGAUUGCGAAGGCAGCCUGCUAAGCUGCAACUGACAUUGAGGCUCGAAAGUGUGGGUAUCAAACAGGAUUAGAUACCCUGGUAGUCCACACGGUAAACGAUGAAUACUCGCUGUUUGCGAUAUACAGCAAGCGGCCAAGCGAAAGCGUUAAGUAUUCCACCUGGGGAGUACGCCGGCAACGGUGAAACUCAAAGGAAUUGACGGGGGCCCGCACAAGCGGAGGAACAUGUGGUUUAAUUCGAUGAUACGCGAGGAACCCUACCCGGGCUUAAAUUGCAGAUGAAUUACGGUGAAAGCCGUAAGCCGCAAGGCAUCUGUGAAGGUGCUGCAUGGUUGUCGUCAGCUCGUGCCGUGAGGUGUCGGCUUAAGUGCCAUAACGAGCGCAACCCUUGUUGUCAGUUACUAACAGGUUCCGCUGAGGACUCUGACAAGACUGCCAUCGUAAGAUGUGAGGAAGGUGGGGAUGACGUCAAAUCAGCACGGCCCUUACGUCCGGGGCUACACACGUGUUACAAUGGGGGGUACAGAGGGCCGCUACCACGCGAGUGGAUGCCAAUCCCCAAAACCUCUCUCAGUUCGGACUGGAGUCUGCAACCCGACUCCACGAAGCUGGAUUCGCUAGUAAUCGCGCAUCAGCCACGGCGCGGUGAAUACGUUCCCGGGCCUUGUACACACCGCCCGUCAAGCCAUGGGAGCCGGGGGUACCUAAAGUGCGUAACCGCGAGGAG
rnacentral:rRNA from 1 species